ACUCCUACGGGAGGCAGCAGUGGGGAAUAUUGCACAAUGGGCGCAAGCCUGAUGCAGCAACGCCGCGUGAGGGACGAAGGCCUUCGGGUUGUAAACCUCUUUUAGUAGGGAAGAAGCGAAAGUGACGGUACCUGCAGAAAAAGCACCGGCUAACUACGUGCCAGCAGCCGCGGUAAUACGUAGGGUGCAAGCGUUAUCCGGAAUUAUUGGGCGUAAAGAGCUCGUAGGCGGUUUGUCGCGUCUGCUGUGAAAACUGGGGGCUCAACCCCCAGCCUGCAGUGGGUACGGGCAGACUAGAGUGCGGUAGGGGAGAUUGGAAUUCCUGGUGUAGCGGUGGAAUGCGCAGAUAUCAGGAGGAACACCGAUGGCGAAGGCAGAUCUCUGGGCCGUAACUGACGCUGAGGAGCGAAAGCAUGGGGAGCGAACAGGAUUAGAUACCCUGGUAGUCCAUGCCGUAAACGUUGGGAACUAGAUGUAGGGUCCAUUCCACGGAUUCUGUGUCGCAGCUAACGCAUUAAGUUCCCCGCCUGGGGAGUACGGCCGCAAGGCUAAAACUCAAAGGAAUUGACGG
rnacentral:rRNA from 1 species